rnacentral:tRNA from 1 species
GGCGGCAUGGCCGAGCGGUAAGGCGGGGGACUGCAGAUCCUUUUUCCCUAGUUCAAAUCUGAGUGUCGCCU